rnacentral:rRNA from 1 species
GAAUUGGACUAAUACCUUAUAAUACUAUUUUGUUGCAUGACAGAUUAGUCAAAGGGUGCCAAUUUAUUGGUAUUGCUUAAGGAUGGGCCUGCGUUCCAUUAGUUAGUUGGUAAGGUAACGGCUUACCAAGACGACGAUGGAUAGCUGGUUUGAGAGAGUGAUCCGCCACACUGGGACUGAGAUACGGCCCAG